rnacentral:rRNA from 1 species
GACGAACGCUGGCGGCGUGCCUAAUACAUGCAAGUAGAACGCUGAAGGAGGAGCUUGCUUCUCUGGCUGAGUGGCGAACGGGUGAGUAACGCGUAGGUAACCUGCCCGGUAGUGGGGGAUAACUAUUGGAAACGAUAGCUAAUACCGCAUAAGAGUAGAUGUUGCAUGACAUUUGCUGAAAAGUUGCAACUGCAUCACUACCAGGAGGCGCUGCGUUGUAUUAGCGUGGUGGGGGGGUAACGGCUCCCCAAGGCGACGAGACAGAGGCGGCGUGAGAGGGGGGUCGGCCCCCCUUGGACUGGGACCCCGCCCCGACUCCUUCGGGGAGCAACCAGAGGGAAUCUUUGGCCAUGGGCCGAAGUCUGACCGCACCACGCCGCGUGAGUUGAGAAGGGCUUCGGGUCGUAAAGCUCUGUUUUUAGGGAAGAACGAGUGUGAGAGUGGAAAGUUCACGCUGUGACGGUAUCUUACCAGAAAGCAACGGCUAACUACGUG